GACGAACGCUGGCGGCGUGCUUAACACAUGCAAGUCGAACGGAAAGGCCUGCUUUCCCUUGUGGAUUGCGGGUACUCGAGUGGCGAACGGGUGAGUAACACGUGAGUGAUCUGCCCCCAACUUGGGUAUAAGCCUGGGAAACUGGGUCUAAUUCCCGAUAGGACUGCAGGGUGGUGCCUGUGGUGGAAAACGAUUUUCUAGUGGUUGGGGAUGAGCUCGCGGCCUAUCAGCUUGUUGGUGGGGUAAUGGCCUACCAAGGCGGCGACGGGUAGCCGGCCUGAGAGGGGGGACGGCCACAUUGGGACUGAGAUACGGCCCAGACUGCUACGGGAGGCAGCAGAGGGGAAUAUUGCAGAAUGGGCGGAAGCCUGAUGCAGCGACGCCGCGUGGGGGAUGACGGCCUUCGGGUGGUAAACUCCUUUCGACCGCGAGGAAGCCACCUGGUUGGAAGGGUGGUGACGGUAGUGGUAGAAGAAGCACCGGCUAACUACGUG
rnacentral:rRNA from 1 species